rnacentral:rRNA from 1 species
UACGUAGGGGCCUAGCGUUGUCCGGAAUUAUUGGGCGUAAAGAGCUCGUAGGCGGUUCGGCAAGUCGGAUGUGAAAUCUCCACGCUCAACGUGGAGGGGCCAUUCGAAACUGCCGUGACUCGAGUCCGGUAGGGGAGUGUGGAAUUCCGGGUGUAGUGGUGAAAUGCGUAGAGAUCCGGAGGAACACCAGUGGCGAAGGCGACACGCUGGGCCGUACCUGACGCUAAAGCGCGACAGCAUGGGGAGCAAACGGG